GGGGUAUGGCUCAGUUGGUAGAGCGUCGCGUUCGCAACGCGAAGGCCACGAGUUCGAAUCUCGUUAUCUCC
rnacentral:tRNA from 1 species